rnacentral:lncRNA from 1 species
UUGUUUUGUUUCUUACUUUUUCUUUUGAAAUAAUUAUAAACUCACCAGAAGUUGCAAAAUGAAAACACUGAAGUUCCGUAAAGGCCAGCAGCACCCACCCAGCUUUUCUGGGUGUCUUAUAUAACGUCUCAACACCCGGAAAUUGACUUUGGCUCCUUAUCAACUAAACCAAUGCAAUCAGCUACCGCGACCGGGAUUUAACGUUCGGCAUGCACUUGAGGGAGGGUGUCUGUAAUUCCCUGAAAUUUAAUCAGAGUUCCCCCACCCUCCCUAACUUCCGAUCAUUGUAGACAUAGUCUGUUGGAACCCCAGGCCCCACCUAUUUUUCAUAUUGUAAAGGAUUUAUGUGCUUUGCGAGGUGUCAGGUGAGCCCUCACACGUUAAAGUUCUCCCUUGUCUAACGUAAGCACAGAGCUUACCCUAGAGGCGCUAGUAACUUCACUCCCAGAGAACCCAACGCGUGCCCUCGAUGGGAAAGUAAAUUAAACUCCUGGAAACAAUGAUUAGUGACCCACCCAAGGUCCAUCCUCCCUGCAAAGGGGUCCUUUAGGAGCAAGAGGAGAAAGAAUCUUCCUUGUGUUAGUCAUUCCCUGAGCGUUUUGUAGUAAGCCUUUCCUAACUGAUGAGACCAUAGGAUCUGGUUUUCUUCAAGCGUUAAAUCCCAGACUUUGUUUCCUUCACGGUCUGAAAAAGGCUUGACUGUGUCAUCUUCAAAGCCAGUUUCCUUUGGUCUAAAAACAAAAACAGGGUUGAAGAGAAGAGAUGCAUGGAGCACUGGCUGCAUUUCCAGAGGACCCAGACACUGCCAAAGGUGAUCUUUGGAAGUGAAGAAAGCAGCAACACCAUGGCUGCAGGUGGCUGAGGCCCUAUGGAACAUAAGGACUUGUACAUGGUAGGCAAACACUCUACCAUUGAGCUAUUUUCCUGACCCUGGUUUUAA